UGAGGUCUAUCGUGGAAGAACCUGUC
rnacentral:piRNA from 1 species